rnacentral:tRNA from 1 species
UCCUCGGUGGCUCGGAUGGAUAGAGCGUCUGCCACGUAAGCAGAAGAUCCCGGGUUCGAGUCCCGGUCGGGGCA